UUUUAUUGCUCAGAGGCUGGUACUCGUAAGAAGGCGCACCGCCAUGGGAGGCUGACCUCCCAAGGUUCGGCGGUGCGCGGAAAACAGGGGCUUUGCGGCCCCUUUUUUAAUUCCAAAA
rnacentral:sRNA from 1 species